UACAGAGGUCUCAAACGUUGUUCGGAUUCAUUGGGCGUAAAGGGUGCGUAGGCGGCGCGGUAAGGCGGGUGUGAAAUCUCGGGGCUUAACUCCGAAACUGCAUUCGAUACUGCCGUGCUUGAGGACUGGAGAGGAGUCUGGAAUUUACGGUGUAGCGGUGAAAUGCGUAGAUAUCGUAAGGAAGACCAGUGGCGAAGGCGGGUCUCUGGACAGUUCCUGACGCUGAGGCACGAAGGUCAGGGGAGCAAACGGG
rnacentral:rRNA from 1 species